UGAGAAAUUGAACUUAUAGCAUUUAUGAGGUAUUUGUAUUUUGCGCCACGCGAUUCCACUGGCUGUUGACUAGGUGGGACGCAAGCGUCCCACCUUGCCCAGGGAGGUUAACAAACCUCCAGAUGAGCUUCAAUGCCAUACAACUCUUAAAUGCAAGGAAAACUAAAUGCAUGCUCUUCAACCGAUCGCUGCCCUCACCUGCCCGCCAUGAGGGCAUCACUUCUCUGGACGGUUCUGACUUAGAAUAUGUGGACAAUUACAAAUACCUAGGUGUCUGGUUAGACUGUAAACUCUCUUUCCAGACUCACAUUAAGCAUAUCCAAUCCAAAAUGAAAUCUAGAAUCGGCUUCCUAUUUCGCAACAAAGCAUCCUUCACUCAUGCUGCCAAACAUACCCUAGUAAAACUGACUAUCCUGCCAAUCCUUGACUUUGGCGAUGUCAUUUACAAAAUAGCUUCCAACACUCUACUCAGCAAAUUGGAUGCAGUCUAUCACAGUGCCAUCUGUUUUGUCACCAAAGCCCCAUAUACUACCCACCACUGCAACCUGUAUGCUCUCGUUGGCUGGCACUCGCUUCAUAUUCGUCGCCAAACCCACUGGCUCCAGGUCAUCUAUAACUCUCUGCUAGCACUGAGAGAUGGCCAGGCCAUGGUGGAAGACACCGUUCACACCAGAACAGGAGACUGCUAUUGUGAACAUGGGGGUGGCAAACAAUACCACUAGACUACGAAAAAUCCAGAACCACAUACUUGCAGACAACAACAUAUUCAAUAACAUUCACCAGUUGGGCUUGUCUACAUUGGACCAUGUAUUACAGCGCAACCGAAUCCGGAUGAAACAGGUCAACAAGGUGCCAUUUGAGCGAAACUCAGAGAGGGUUAAAGAACAGCGCUACGAAUAUGUGAAAAGAGUCUUGGAGGUGGAUGCCGCUGCAAUUCAGCACGUUUAUAUUUACAUUGAUUAGGCUGGCUUCAACCUAGCCAAAAGAAGGGUACAGGGACGGAACAUUAUUGGUCUCCGUGCCAUUGUGAAUGUCCCUAGACUGCGCGGAGGGAAUAUUUUACAUUUACAUUUUAGUCAUUUAGCAGACGCUCUUAUCCAGAGCGACUUACAAAUUGGUGCAUUCACCUAUAAUAUCCAGUGGAACAACCACUUUACAAUAGUGCAUCUAAAUCUUUUAAGGGGGGGGUUAGAAGGAUUACUUUAUCCUAUCCCAGGUAUUCCUUGAAGAGGUGGGGUUUCAGGUGUCUCCGGAAGGUGGUGAUUGACUCCGCUGUCCUGGCGUCGUGAGGGAGCUUGUUCCACCAUUGGGGUGCCAGAGCAGCGAACAGUUUUGACUGGGCUGAGCGGGAACUGUGCUUCCUCAGAGGUAGGGAGGCGAGCAGGCCAGAGGUGGAUGAACGGAGUGCCCUUGUUUGGGUGUAGGGCCUGAUCAGAGCCUGAAGGUACGGAGGUGCCGUUCCCCUCACAGCUCCGUAGGCAAGCACCAUGGUCUUGUAGCGGAUGCGAGCUUCGACUGGAAGCUCGCAUCCGAAUAUCACCAUGUGCGCAGCCAUUAGCCAGCAAGGUGUCCUCCAUCACCAUGCCAACCUUGGUCCCUACAACACCGCCCUUCUCAUCACAUUCCUGGACACACUACAUGGCAUCCUCAUUCCAGCCGAGCAGAGGGGUGGACCAGAGCAGCCCAGAUAUGUUGUCAACUGGGACAACGUGAGUUUCCACCAGGCUGCUCUGGUCCACAACUGGUUCAUCGACCACCCACAAUUUAUUGUUCUAAACUUCCCACUAUAUUCCCCAUUCCUAAACCCAAUUGAAGAGUUUUUUUCGGCAUGGUGAUGGAAGGUGUAUGACCGCCAUCCCCUCACACGCACGCCUCUUCUCCAGGCAAUGGAGUAUGCAUGUGGUGAAGUUGAUGUAGAUGAGCUGCUGUGGCCAAACCAAAACAGGAGGCAGGAUGCAGCCUAUUGUCUUUUUUUUGCACAUGUUUUUGACUUUUUGUGUUUAGAGUUUUGAAAGAAUGAGCUACUAUUAAUGUACAGAAAACCCUUUAUCUUACGGGAAAGAAAUUAAAAAAUUAUGUAUGUAUGAAAUGUAAGUCGCUCUGGAUAAGAGCGUCUGCUAAAUGACUAAAAUGUAAAUGUAAAUCUUACUGAAUGUUUUUCCUGGUUUUCUCCUGUUGGGUAUGGACAGUGUUACAUGCAAAACA
rnacentral:lncRNA from 1 species